GAGGGUCCGUGGUUCCCGGGAGGGUCCCUGGUUACCAGGAGGGUCCAUGGUUCCCAGGAGGGUCCCUGGUUACCAGGAGGGUCCUUAGUUACCAGGAAGGUCCAUGGUUACCAGGAGGGUCCUUAGUUACCAGGAGGGUCCCUGGUUACCAGGAGGGUCCUUAGUUACCAGGAGGGUCCCUGGUUACCAGGAGGGUCCUUAGUUACCAAGAGGGUCCCUGGUUACCAGGAGGGUCCUUAGUUACCAGGAGGGUCCGUGGUUACCAGGAGGCAUCUGUGGUUACCAGGCGGGCCUUACCCCAGCCUGUCCUUUGUCUGCAGACCUCCUGGAGCGUCAGUCUCCCGCUGUGUCAGGUGAGAGGUUUGGAUCCCCGUGACUCACUCCGGUCUCGUGUGACGCCUGGGCUCAAAGCACAUUUCGGUGUUUCCCAGUAGGACCGAGACUUCCCCCGACCCCUUCCUGCCUGGCUGCGCCAUGUCAGUCCAGCACUGGGGCCCUGGGGACGGCCCCAGUGCCCGAGGCAGCCGUCUGGCCCAGACCUCCCGCCCAGUCUUCAGUCUUGUUACGUGCCCUCCUCUUUCUUGGCCAUUUUGGGCACUUUGUGGAUGGAACGCUGGGUGUAACUAACAGUGAAACAGCGCUGUCCUUCACUCCCGCCCUCGCCGCUUCCCGCCUUACAGAUCAGCCGGCCCAGAAUGACCGCCCGUCCCCGCUGGAGCCGGCACGUGGCCCAGGCGGGGAGGACUCUUCUCUGGAAACUACCAGUGGUUGAGAACCCGAAGACUUUACCCAGCCUCCUCGGAGAAGGCCCGCCGGUCCUCAUGCUCGUCAACAAAACACACAGACAAGCUUCAAGGCGGCUCUGCAGCGUGUCGUGAGCGGCGUGGGAAGGCAGGUGCACGCAGAGCAGGGGCGGCUCCCCUGAGGGUCAUUGUUCUGGACCUGAACUUGCCGCUUAGACCGCGCUCUAGGAUUACUCCAGACUCCACUAGAUUCUGUUCGCUGAGUGCUUCCCACGUGUGUGCCCAGUGUUUCCUCAGCACGGUGACAAAUAUUCGCAGCCAGGUGUCCCGCGUGGCUUCCCUGUUCCCGCAGCACCAGCCCGGAGCUCAGUGCGGGGCCGGCCCUGGGGCGCGGCGAGGUGGCAGCAAGAAUCUUUGUCCGCUGGCCCCUGGACUCACUUGAGAAGCUUUUAAGAAAUCGCAAAGCCUGAGCCCCACCCAGCAGUUCUGAUCUAAGUGGUCCGGCAUGGAGUUCGUAGA